GGGGGCGAACUGGCUUCGACGUAUCUGAAGACAGCUCAUGUUGCAUGCCGAGCUUGGCUAACUCGUUAAACUGACCUCUCGCUUAUUAAACGGCGAACCAAUUAACGCACUUGCGGCCUAAUUAACGCCGCAGCGCUUCACGCGGCAAUGCCUGCGGGCUUCGUGAGGCGGCAUCCAGCAGGCUGGCUUGUUCGCGGCUUCCGGUGCGCGAACGGGUGAGAAAACUCAUCGGGAAAACGGAAAAAGCGCUCGCCCGCCGGCAACUUUCUCCGUCAAAUUACGGCGGGAUAAGCAUGUAGAGGCUGGGUGAUUCUCUUUUGCGGACGCGGGUUCAAUUCCCGCCGCCUCCACCA
rnacentral:tmRNA from 1 species